UUGCAAUUUAUUCAGGUUAGUUAUUUGUAUGUGGUUGUUGUGUACAAGAAAUGUUAUAAAAGUGAGUUGACAUACACAUUUUAUUAGAGCAGCUGCCGAUGUGGCAUUUGUGUUCAUCAAACUUAAAUAUUUAAAAAUUAUUGUAAGUUGGCAUUAUCCUUUUUUCACUGGCGGGGACUUUCCCACGCAGGUGCAGCAUUUUUCUCGGCUGUUGUUCGCUGCAGCGGAUCUGGAUUUCAGGGACUGGUUAACACGGACCCAUCUGCCUCUGUGGAGAAAAGGAGAGAAGUGGUCCUGAGAUGCCUGAUUGAGUACAUGGGGGAGAGACAGGAAGACCUCAUCAGUGUCCACCACAGUCAUGAUGAAACAGAGGUGCACGCUGAGCUUGGCAGUUGCCCACUAAAAAUGUACAUAUGCCAUCAGCCCGACAUGAUUGGGAUUAUCAUAGAAGGACAGCCUGUGGUCAGAGGUGUGCCAAACCUGUCGAAAGCAUGCUGCCUCCUGUUUGGACUUACCUAUGCCCUCGACCUCAAGUAUCCCUCAAAAAUGGUGUAUACUUUUGUGUAUAUAUAUAUAUAUAUAUAUAUAUAUGUAUAUAUAUAUAUGUAUGUAUAUAUAUAUUAUAUCUCUUUGUGGGAUUGGACCCCAUGCGUCCUAAGCCAUCAUCCAAGUAUGCAAACCUCCUUACCAAGUUGUCUUAGAUUAUUUCUCAGUGGCAUCUGACAUUUAUUGGCUGUUUUGUAGUCCCUGUUAAAAGUGAAACUGGUUGACAUUGAAUAAAUGUUAUUGUUUUCAAUCUAUCUUCCCAUCUUUUUCUUCUUCAAUUUAAUUUGUAACUGUUUUUGACAAAGCCUGUUUAUGUACAGUUAAUCACUGUAGUACUUAGACUAUAUAGCCAUUUAGAUUUUUUUCUGAGGUUAUAGACAGGACUCAAUUAAAAUGUUUAUUCACAUUUGAUUAGGUUAAUUGUACUGAGAAAAUAAAGUUAAUAAAACCUAAUUAAAUGAGUACAGGUUACUUGUAGCAACCCAUAAAUAAGUUACCUGUACCAAUAAAAGUAGGUUUAUCUAACUGAGCAAUACUAGUACUAUUAGUUAACUCAACUUGAUUUUGUUGUGUUUGUAUUAAGUAAUGUUACAGUGUUUAUUACACUUAAAAAAGGCUGCAAGUUGACUCAACUUAAAACAUCCAAUGCAGCCACUUGCCUCACUUUUUAUAAGUUAGAUCUAGGUAUUACU